CACGUAGGGGGCAAGCGUUGUCCGGAAUCAUUGGGCGUAAAGAGCUCGUAGGCGGCUCAGUAAGUCGGGUGUGAAACCUCCAGGCUCAACCUGGAGACGCCACCCGAUACUGCUGUGGCUAGAAUCCAGUAGGGGAGUGUGGAAUUCCCGGUGUAGCGGUGAAAUGCGCAGAUAUCGGGAGGAACACCAGCGGCGAAGGCGGCACUCUGGGCUGGUACUGACGCUGAGGAGCGAAAGCGUGGGUAGCAAACAGG
rnacentral:rRNA from 1 species